rnacentral:rRNA from 1 species
GUGGGAACUCUAAGGAAACGUCCGGAUAACCGGAAGGAAGGUGGGGUCGACGUCAAGUCAGUAUGUCCCUUAUCGUUCAGGCUACACACGUAAUACAAUGGAAGUACAGAGGGUAGCAAAACGUCGAAGUAGAGCCAAUCCCAAAAAAACUUCCCCAGUUCGGAUUGCAGUCUGCAACUCGACUGCAUGAAGCAGGAAUCGCUAGUAAUCGCGCAUCAGCAUGGCGCGGUGAAUACGUUCCCGGGUCUU